CCUACGGGAGACAGCAGUCGAGAAUCAUUCACAAUGGGGGAAACCCUGAUGGUGCGACGCCGCGUGGGGGAAUGAAGGUCUUCGGAUUGUAAACCCCUGUCAUGUGGAAGCAAAUUAAAAAGAUAGUACCACAAGAGGAAGCGACGGAUAACUCUGUGCCAGCAGCCGCGGUAAUACAGAGGUCUCAAGCGUUGUUCGGAAUCACUGGGCGUAAGGCGUGAGUAGGCUGGUUAGUAAGUCGUGUGUGAAAGGCGCGGGCUCAACCCGUGGCCUGCAUAUGAUACUGCGAGACUAGAGUAAUGGAGAGGGAACCGGAAUUCUCGGUGUAGCAGUGAAAUGCGUAGAUA
rnacentral:rRNA from 1 species